AUUGAACGCUGGCGGCAUGCCUUACACAUGCAAGUCAAACGGUAACAGGUCUUCGGAUGCUGACGAGUGGCGAACGGGUGAGUAAUACAUCGGAACGUGCCCGAUCGUGGGGGAUAACGAGGCGAAAGCUUUGCUAAUACCGCAUACGAUCUACGGAUGAAAGCGGGGGAUCUUCGGACCUCGCGCGGACGGAGCGGCCGAUGGCAGAUUAGGUAGUUGGUGGGAUAAAAGCUUACCAAGCCGACGAUCUGUAGCUGGUCUGAGAGGAUGAUCAGCCACACUGGGACUGAGACACGGCCCAGACUCCUACGGGAGGCAGCAGUGGGGAAUUUUGGACAAUAGGCGAAAGCCUGAUCCAGCCAUGCCGCGUGCAGGAUGAAGGCCUUCGGGUUGUAAACUGCUUUUGUACGGAACGAAAAGCCUCUUUCUAAUAAAGAGGGGUCAUGACGGUACCGGAAGAAUAAGCACCGGCUAACUACGUG
rnacentral:rRNA from 1 species